GCUCCUACCGAUUGAACGGUCCGGUGAAGUGUUCGGACUGUGACUGUGUUGCCGGUUCGCCGGCUGGCGGCCGCGGGAAGUUCAUUAAACCUUAUCGUUUAGAGGAAGGAGAAGUCGUAACAAGGUUUCC
rnacentral:rRNA from 2 species